rnacentral:rRNA from 1 species
UACGUAGGGUGCGAGCGUUGUCCGGAAUUAUUGGGCGUAAAGAGCUUGUAGGCGGUUUGUCGCGUCUGCCGUGAAAAUCCGGGGCUCAACCCCGGACUUGCGGUGGGUACGGGCAGACUAGAGUGCGGUAGGGGAGACUGGAAUUCCUGGUGUAGCGGUGAAAUACGCAGAUAUCAGGAGGAACACCGGUGGCGAAGGCGGGUCUCUGGGCCGUAACUGACGCUGAGGAGCGAAAGCAUGGGGAGCGAACAGG